rnacentral:lncRNA from 10 species
CACAUGACAGUUUACAAAAACAGGUAAUCAUAAGAAGCAAAUGGCCCAGAUGAAACACAGCAAAAGAAUGAGAAGUGGUAACACUGGGAGUGAAAUUUGAACCAAGCGUAAAUGGAGUGAUCGUAGAAAUAGCUGACUGUGGAAUGUGGACACUCUCUGUAUCUGCAGCCUGGGAAGCUUAAAGAAGGUGAACUUACUGACACCAGUUAGAAAGUGACUGUGAUGAAACGAUGAAGAUGCUCCAGAGGAAGUGACACCAGCAAUAGGAAAAAAAAAACAAACCUCUCACUGAAGGAACUCUCGGAGAUAUUUCAUGACACAGAAGGCACAAAGGAUACAAUAUUGGCAACUAAUCGAAACUUAGAAAUGAUAUGACAGCUCACCAAGGCAUAGAAAAAGAUGCUUGCUCUAUCAUAAGUUAUAGAAUGAGAAGAAGGGAUGGUGUUUCACUAUGCUGCCCAG